CCUACUGGCGGCAGCAGUGGGGAAUAUUGCACAAUGGGGGAAACCCUGAUGCAGCGACGCCGCGUGAGUGAAGAAGUAAUUCGUUAUGUAAAGCUCUAUCAGCAGGGACGAAAAUGACGGUACCUGAGUAAGAAGCCCCGGCUAACUACGUGACAGCAGCCGCGGUAAUACGUAGGGGGCAAGCGUUAUCCGGAUUUACUGGGGUUAAAGGGAGCGUAGACGGCAGGGCAAGUCUGGAGUGAAAGGCGGGGGGUCAACCCCCGGACUGCUCUGGAGACUGUACGGCGGGAGUGCAGGAGAGGUAAGGGGAAUUCCUAGUGGAGCGGUGAAAUGCGGAGAUAUUAGGAGGGACACCAGUGGCGAAGGCGGCUUACUGGACUGUAACUGACGUUGAGGCUCGAAAGCGUGGGGAGCAAACAGGAUUAGAUACCCCAGUAGUC
rnacentral:rRNA from 1 species